rnacentral:rRNA from 1 species
AUUGAACGCUGGCGGCAGGCCUAACACAUGCAAGUCGAGCGGAUGAAGGGAGCUUGCUCCUGGAUUCAGCGGCGGACGGGUGAGUAAUGCCUAGGAAUCUGCCUGGUAGUGGGGGAUAACGUCCGGAAACGGGCGCUAAUACCGCAUACGUCCUGAGGGAGCAAGUGGGGGAUCUUCGGACCUCACGCUCUCAGAUGAGCCUAGGUCGGAUUAGCUAGUUGGUGGGGUAAAGGCCUACCAAGGCGACGAUCCGUAACUGGUCUGAGAGGAUGAUCGGUCACACUGGAACUGAGACACGGUCCAGACUACUACGGGAGGCAGCAGUGGGGAAUAUUGGACAAUGGGCGAAAGCCUGAUCCAGCCAUGCCGCGUGUGUGAAGAAGGUCUUCGGAUUGUAAAGCACUUUAAGUUGGGAGGAAGGGCAGUAAGUUAAUACCUUGCUGUUUUGACGUUACCAACAGAAUAAGCACCGGCUAACUUCGUG